CUAAAUAUAGUGAAUUCAGGUGAUCCGGCUAGUAAUAGUUCGAGUCUUAAAAGGGAAGUAUGGUGCAAAUCCAUCACGGUCCCGCCACUGUAAUCCAAGAAUCAACCUGCAUCAUGCAGAGAAGUAGGCUCAAGCUUAUGCCACUGUAAGCACUACUUAUGGGAAGGCGCUAGUGCCUAAAUAAACGGACAUCAUCUACAUAUAGAUAACGAAGCCGUUAACUUGGAGAGUCAGGAGACCUGCCUGUUGGACCAAUAUAAC
rnacentral:ncRNA from 2 species